rnacentral:rRNA from 1 species
AGUGAACGCUGGCGGCGUGCCUAAUACAUGCAAGUCGAACGAUGAAGCUUCUAGCUUGCUAGAAGUGGAUUAGUGGCGCACGGGUGAGUAAGGUAUAGUUAAUCUGCCCUACACAAGAGGACAACAGUUGGAAACGACUGCUAAUACUCUAUACUCCUGCUUAACACAAGUUGAGUAGGGAAAGUUUUUCGGUGUAGGAUGAGACUAUAUAGUAUCAGCUAGUUGGUAAGGUAAUGGCUUACCAAGGCUAUGACGCUUAACUGGUCUGAGAGGAUGAUCAGUCACACUGGAACUGAGACACGGUCCAGACUCCUACGGGAGGCAGCAGUAGGGAAUAUUGCGCAAUGGGGGAAACCCUGACGCAGCAACGCCGCGUGGAGGAUGACACUUUUCGGAGCGUAAACUCCUUUUCUUAGGGAAGAAUUCUGACGGUACCUAAGGAAUAAGCACCGGCUAACUCCGUGCCAGCCGCCGCCGUAACAC